rnacentral:rRNA from 1 species
UACGAAGGGGGCUAGCGUUGUUCGGAAUCACUGGGCGUAAAGCGCACGUAGGCGGACAUUUAAGUCAGGGGUGAAAUCCCGAGGCUCAACCUCGGAACUGCCUUUGAUACUGGGUGUCUUGAGUAUGGUAGAGGUUGGUGGAACUGCGAGUGUAGAGGUGAAAUUCGUAGAUAUUCGCAAGAACACCGGUGGCGAAGGCGGGUCUCUGGGCAUCUCCUGACGCUGAGGCGCGAAAGCGUGGGGAGCAAACAGG